GUGAGAAGGGAGCAAGGCAUAUAACACCUAUGACUCCAGCAUGAUUUCACGGAGAAGCAGUUUUGAAAGCUUGCCUUGUCCAGAGCAACAACUCAACAACUUUGACUGAGGACAGACUAUACGUAACGCUGAACUGUCUCUGGGUUAGGAUAUAGCCAUCACCUCAAUCAGAGCGAAGUAGGACACAAGACAUUGAGUGCCUUUGACCCCAGGGUCUCCUCGAUCUUUACUAGAGCCAGUCUCCAGAGCACAUCCUCUGCCUGUCCAUUCAGGUUGCCUGAGAUUCAGCACUUUUGAAUGCAGCUGAGACGAUCAGAGUUUUUCCAAAGGAGUCUAACCAAGAACAAAGGUAAUCCAAGAACUACAGACGGAGAGUGUAAUUGCUGAGACUCCGCCCUCUGCCCCCCACCCGACUCCAAGCAGAACUCAGCGUCGUUCCUUUCUGCACCAGUCAGAACUGGAGGCAUUUCUGCUCUCAUUCAGAGGCUGGUUGAUAGCCUGACACCAGGAGGCUGCACUUGGUUCCCCGCAGCUGACCUCCGGGCUCACCAGGGGCCACCUACACCUGCUUGGCCCCCAGCCCGGUGGUAGUGGUUGUCCUUGUAACUGUGGUGAUAUAAUUUACUUGAAUAUUAAUG